GGGCCUGUAACUCAGUGGUAGAGUACGACACUUAUAAUGUCGGAGUCCUUGGUCCGAAUCCAAGCGGGCCCA
rfam:Candidatus Gottesmanbacteria bacterium RBG_13_45_10 RBG_13_scaffold_2990, whole genome shotgun sequence.